rnacentral:misc_RNA from 1 species
UUUCCGUAGGUGAACCUGCGGAAGGAUCAUUCAUAAUAAGUGUUUUAUGGCACUUUUUUAAAUCCAUAUCCACCUUGUGUGCAAUGUCAGGGUUGGUCUCUUUUGAUCAUCCCCAAACAUCAACUAUUAUCUCAACUCUUUGUCUGAAAAAUAUUAUGAAUAAAACAAUUAAAAAUACAACUUUCAACAACGGAUCUCUUGGCUCUG